rnacentral:rRNA from 1 species
CCUACGGGUGGCAGCAGUGAGGAAUAUUGGUCAAUGGACGCAAGCCUGAACCAGCCAUGUCGCGUGAAGGAUGACUGCCCUACGGGUUGUAAACUUCUUUUAUAAAGGAAUAAACUGAGGCACGUGUGCCUUUUUGUAUGUACUUUAUGAAUAAGGAUCGGCUAACUCCGUGCCAGCAGCCGCGGUAAUACGGAGGAUCCGAGCGUUAUCCGGAUUUAUUGGGUUUAAAGGGAGCGUAGAUGGGCGGAUAAGUCAGUUGUGAAAUUUUGCGGCUCAACUGUAAAAUUGCAAUUGAUACUGGUAGUCUUGAGUACAGUUGAGGUAGGCGGAAUUUGUGGUGUAGCGGUGAAAUGCUUAGAGAUCAUGAAGAACUCCGAUUGCGAAGGCAGCUUACUAAGCUGCCACUGACAUUGAUGCUCGAAAGUGUGGGUAGCAAACAGGAUUAGAUACCCUGGUAGUC